GAGUUUGAUCGUGGCUCAGAACGAACGCUGGCGGCAGGCUUAACACAUGCAAGUCGAACGGACGUAGCAAUACGUUAGUGGCGCACGGGUGAGUAACGCGUGGAUAUCUGCCUUUUGGUUCGGGAUAACCUUGGGAAACUAGGGCUAAUACCGAAUGGUUCCUACGGGAUAAAGAUUUAUCGCCAAAAGAUGAGUCCGCGUCCGAUUAGCUAGUUGGCGGGGUAACGGCCCACCAAGGCGACGAUCGGUAGCUGGUCUGAGAGGACGAUCAGCCACACUGGGACUGAGACACGGCCCAGACUCCUACAGGAGGCAGCAGUGGGGAAUAUUGGACAAUGGGGGCAACCCUGAUCCAGCCAUGCCGCGUGAGUGAUGAAGGCCUUCGGUUGUAAG
rnacentral:rRNA from 1 species